GCUGAUUCACAUAUUUUGGAAGAGCAGCAGUUGCACCAGAAGUUGAUCAUUGAGGAACAGGAUGAACAGUUGGAGCUGGUCUCUGGCAGCAUUUCUGUGCUGAGGCACAUGUCGGGGCGGGUUGGAGAAGAACUUGAUGAACAAACUAUAAUGCUAGAAGACUUUGCUCACGAGAUGGACAACACUCAGAACGGCAUAGAUGGGGUGCUCAAAAAGAUGG
rnacentral:lncRNA from 1 species